CACAACAGCAAGAAGCACUACUCCACAGGGGGUGAAGAGUGGAAGGGGUCACAGACUUUAGUUUGUACAUCUCUGUUACCUUUAUUGCAGAUAACCGUCUCCUCAGGAGGAAUGUUGGUUCAGAAACUGAACACCAAUGAUCUCCAGUCCGAAAGAACACCAUUUGAUGGAACUAUGGUCUAUGCACAAAACAAGAGGCAGCAAGUGGUUCUGACGGAGCAGUGGGCCCGAGGGCACCCGGCCAUCCAUUUUUCUUCCAUGCAUCCUGGCUGGGCCGACACCCCAGGUGUGAGGCAGGCGAUGCCGGGGUUCCAUGCCAGGUUCAGGGACCGCCUGCGCUCCGAGGCCCAGGGCGCGGACACUGUGCUGUGGUUGGCCCUCUCCUCUGCCGCAGCCGCACAGCCCAGCGGCUGCUUCUUUCAAGUGGGCUCCUAAGGGGGCAGGCGUGAGUGGACGCCAUCCGAAGACACACUUGACCUUGGGUGGAAGCCAGGCUCUUUGCUCGGCUUCUCUUUCCUCUGUUCUUGAUGAGAACC
rnacentral:sRNA from 1 species